rnacentral:lncRNA from 1 species
CAUCAACUAAUAUCAUGUCAAUUGAAUAAAUGACAAAGAAUAGCAAAGGUGGGGAGAAAAAUCUGCCCCAUAAAUAAACAUAUAUACAUAUCUACUUCAAAAGAUAACAUUAAGGGCGGUAUGUGGGUGGGAAUUUUGAACAAAUUGUUUGAUAAGAAUCACAAGUUAACACAUCAAAUGCUGAUGAUAAAAGGAAGUGACCACAAUACACUUACACGUGAACUCGUACUGACCCGCAAGAUCAUUGACCAAUAAGAAAGAUGCCAAUCAUGCAUUGGUCAUAAGUGAAAUUUCUCUGCACGUGAAAACAUGUUAUCUAAUUUCAACAAUUUAUCGUUUAAUUAAGUAGGACACUCUGACCCUUUGACCAGACUAGAGACAUCAUACAUUUACAGUAUUAAUAGCUCACUCUUUUAUUUAAGUCGGUUAGUAAUAACCAAUUAAAACAGAAUUAUCUUCUCUGCUGUCUUAAAUUAUUUUAUUCCGCUUAAUUUUCAAUUAGCAAAUAAAAUUGGUUUUAAGACAGACAGCUAGAUACCAUAAACAUACUAUGUAUACACAAGCCAGAGUCUGAGCUUGAUUUGCUAUAUGAUAUAAAAACUAAACUGACGAAAAAAGGUCAUUUAUUCAAAAUCAUAAAAUGCAAAAAAUACAUUUUGCAAAUAAAACAUUUGACAUAAAAGUUCAUAUUUAAUAUGAAAUAAUAAUACAUAAUUAAUACGAAAUUACAUCAACUAAUAUCAUGUCAAUUGAAUAAAUGACAAAGAAUAGCAAAGGUGGGGAGAAAAAUCUGCCACAAAUCCACUCUUAGGCUGAAAGAGUGGAUCUGAAAUCCACUCUAAGGCUGAAAGAGCGGAUCCCCACCCGAGGACUCUGGCGACGUGAAUACAAUUAUAUAUGACUUGAAAAAAAAAAUACAUUCACAUACAUGUACACCAAACACAUAUCACUUUAUUAUGUAAAAC